AUGAUCACUUAGGCAGCACAUAUACUAAAGUUGGAAUGAUACAGAAAAUAGUAGCAUGGCCCCUGUGCAAGGAUGACAUGCAAAUUCGUGAAGCAUUACAUAUUAAA